rnacentral:rRNA from 1 species
AACGAACGCUGGCGGCAUGCCUAACACAUGCAAGUCGAACGAGAUCUUCGGGUCUAGUGGCGCACGGGUGCGUAACGCGUGGGAAUCUGCCCUUUGGUUCGGAAUAACAGUUGGAAAAGACUGCUAAUACUGGAUGAUGACGAAAGGCCAAAGAUUUAUCGCCAGAGGAUGAGCCCGCGUAGGAUUAGCUAGUUGGUGUGGUAAAGGCGCACCAAGGCGACGAUCCUUAGCUGGUCUGAGAGGAUGAUCAGCCACACUGGGACUGAGACACGGCCCAGACUCCUACGGGAGGCAGCAGUGGGGAAUAUUGGACAAUGGGCGAAAGCCUGAUCCAGCAAUGCCGCGUGAGUGAUGAAGGCCUUAGGGUUGUAAAGCUCUUUUACCCGGGAUGAUAAUGACAGUACCGGGAGAAUAAGCUCCGGCUAACUCCGUGCCAGCCGCCGCCGUAA